AACGAACGCUGGCGGCAUGCCUAACACAUGCAAGUCGAACGACACCUUCGGGUCUAGUGGCUCACGGGUGCGUAACGCGUGGGAACCUGCCCUUAGGCUCGGAAUAACUCCCCGAAAUGGGUGCUAAUACCGGAUAAUGUCUUCGGACCAAAGAUUUAUCGCCUUUGGAUGGGCCCGCGUUGGUUUAGCUAGUUGGUAGGGUAAAAGCCUACCAAGGCGACGAUCCAUAGCUGGUCUGAGAGGAUGAACAGCCACACUGGGACUGAGACACGGCCCAGACUCCUACGGGAGGCAGCAGUGGGGAAUAUUGGACAAUGGGCGAGAGUCUGAUCCAGCAAUGCCGCGUGAGUGAUGAAGGCCUUAGGGUAGUAAAGCUCUUUUACCCGGGAUGAUAAUGACAGUACCGGGAGAAUAAGCCCCGGCUAACUCCGUG
rnacentral:rRNA from 1 species